rnacentral:rRNA from 1 species
UACGUAGGGUCCGAGCGUUGUCCGGAAUUACUGGGCGUAAAGAGCUCGUAGGUGGUUUGUCGCGUUGUUCGUGAAAACUCACAGCUCAACUGUGGGCGUGCGGGCGAUACGGGCAGACUAGAGUACUGCAGGGGAGACUGGAAUUCCUGGUGUAGCGGUGGAAUGCGCAGAUAUCGGGAGGAACACCUGUGGCGAAGGCGGCCCCCUGGUUGGAUACUGACGCUGAUACGCGGAGGCGUGGGGAGCAAACGGG